GCUGGGUGCGGUGGUGCACUCCUGUAAUCCCAGCAACUUGGGAGGCUGAGGCGAGAGGAUGGCAAGUCAAGGCCAGCCUUGGCAACUUAGUGAGGCCCUAAGCAACUUAGCAAGACUGUGUCUCAA
rnacentral:sRNA from 1 species